CUGUGGCUUCAAGCUGAUUGCCAGGUGGUACCCACAGUGCUGCUCAUGCUACAGGUGGCUUCCUUGUCUACAGGCUGCAGAUGAAAUCACUGGUCGGUCAUAAGAGCUGAUCAUAAACGUCAGGAAACAGACAUGCAAACAACAUGUCAGCGUCAUUGCGGUCUAAUGAAAUGACAAAAAUAUUGUUAUACUUAAUAUUUCAUCAUUCAAAUAAACCUGACAUAAUUU
rnacentral:misc_RNA from 1 species